rnacentral:rRNA from 1 species
GACGAACGCUGGCGGCGUGCUUAACACAUGCAAGUCGAGCGGUAAGGCCCUUUCGGGGGUACGACGAGCGGCGAACGGGUGAGUAACACGUGGGUGACCUGCCCUCAGCUCUGGGAUAAGCCUGGGAAACCGGGUCUAAUACUGGAUAUGACUCCAUGACGCAUGUUGGUGGGGUGGAAAGCCUUGUGCGGCUGAGGAUGGGCCCGCGGCCUAUCAGCUUUGUUGGGUGGGGGUGA